rnacentral:misc_RNA from 1 species
GAAAUGCGAUAAGUAGUGUGAAUUGCAGAAUUCAGUGAAUCAUCGAAUCUUUGAACGCACAUUGCGCCCUUUGGUAUUCCUUAGGGCAUGCCUGUUCGAGCGUCAUCUAAACCUUCAAGCCCUGCUUGGUGUUGGGUGCCUGUCCCGCCUCCGCGCGCGGACUCACCUCAAAUCCAUUGGCGGCCCCCGCGUCGGCCACGAGCGCAGCAGAAACGCGAACUCGUGAGCCCGUCCGGGCGGCUCCCAGAAGCUACACCCACCCAGUUUGACCUCGGAUCAGGUAGGGAUACCCGCUGAAGUUAAGC